CUGCAUCCUCCUCUCUUGCUUCCCUUUCCUCGAGGAACGAGCUUUGCUUCCUUCACCGAGAGAUGUCUUGCUUCAGACCCUGUCCCCCACGGCCCUGUGGUGCCUCUGGCCCAACCCCACUUGCAAGCAGCUGCAGUGAGCCCUGUGUUGCCCGCUGCGCUGACUCGACGGUGUUCAUUCGAGCCCUCGCCAGUGGUGGUGACCCUACCGGGCCCCAUCCUCAACUCUUUCCCUCAGAGCACGGCUGUGGGAUCAUCUCUGUCAGCUGCUGUUGGGAGCUCCCUCAGUGCCGGGGGAUUUCCCAUCUCUUCUGGGGGCUCCCUUGGUCUGGGCGGGUCCGGGAUGUGUCUGCCUCUCCCCCGCUGCAGUCUGAAUUGCUGAAGCUGGUGGCUCAUCCCUCUAGGAGCAGGACAGAAGACGGGACCCUGCAGCAGCAGGAGCAUGGCCACGGCUUGCAGACAGGCAUGGGUGUCCUCAUGCCACCUGGCAGGAGGGACCUGUGCCCACUUCUCCUCUCUGCACGGCUGGCGUGGUUGUGUCUCCUCUAGCUCUUCUUUGCUCUGAGCCCUCCAGAAAGGGCUCGUUCUCUUCUGCUUUGCUGAAUCCCCUGCUGUUUGGGAGAGUGUGCUGGAGUUAGGGACCGCUCUUGGUGGGCUGCCAUUGCCACCACGGAGAGCAGAAUGGUAAAAGUAAAGCGCUUUGUGUGCAGCUUGUCCUUGGGGAACGUGCCAUACUGUGUGCGUGCCUCAAACCUGCAGAUGUGUUUCUUGGUCUCUGUUCUGUGCUACUGCAUUUCCUCCUUCUUAUUAAAGGCUUUGUGCAUCAUAA